GUGCUGGUAUGAUCGCAUC
rnacentral:snRNA from 1 species